UACGUAGGGGGCAAGCGUUGUCCGGAUUUAUUGGGCGUAAAGAGCGUGUAGGCGGCCAAGUAGGUCCGGUGUGAAAACUCGAGGCUUAACCUCGAGAUGUCAUCGGAAACCAUUUGGCUAGAGUCCGGAAGAGGAAAGUGGAAUUCCUGGUGUAGCGGUGAAAUGACGCAGAUAUCAGGAAGAACACCAAUGGCGAAAGCAG
rnacentral:rRNA from 1 species